CUUUUCCUGUACCCUUGGUUGGAAUCUUAAAAUGUGAUGUCUUCAGUGACAACUCAGCACUUUCCUUCCUGAGAGAAGUUUUUCUUUUUAAAAUUUAUUUUUUAGUUUUUUGAGACAGGGCCUCACUACGUAUCUCGGGCUGGCCUGAAACUCACUGUAUAGACCAGGCUGGCCUCAAACUCACAGAGGUCUACCUAGCUCUGCCUCCAGGGUGCUGGGAUUAAAGGUGUGUGCCACCAAGCCUAGCUCAUGCAAGAAUUUUUCAUCUGCCGUUCACAUGUACUGCAAAAACACCAGCGGCUGAGGAGAACUCUGUGUCAUCCUUAGAAAUUUCUACAACAAAAAAGUCUCUGCUGUUUCCACUAAGAAGAGGAUUCCAGUCCCUCCCCUUGCACCUGAGUGAGCUGGUGACUGUAGAUUUGCUGGACAGCCGGUCCCAGAGGUGGGACAGAGGGAGCGAAGGGAAAGAACCAUGUGUCAUUCAUUUCUGGAUAAUGACAUUUUCCAGGGUCAUUUCCCUGAGAGAAAAGAAGGUUGAAGAGGGGUGUCCUUGGGUCCCCUUCCUCCAAAAAGACCUCAGGCCGUAGGACCCAGAGUGUGGUUCAUAGAAGAACUGAGGUCCUGGAACCUCUGGGCCUUGGGAGAUGUUUGUGGAGGAUACUACUUUCAGAACUGCCCACAACGACUUGAACAACUUGAGCAUCCUAGUCCCUCACACUGUACAUGAAGAAAGAAGCUCUCCAGUCCUAGGAGGCCGGUGUUCUUCCUGGGCUCAGCGCUUGUGAAAGUUCGUCUUUGAUCAUGCUGUCCACUGUCUGGUGCCAUAGUCUUCGAGGGACAAAGAAGUUUUCUGGAUGAGCUCUUGAUGUGGUGGGAUCCUCUGUUGAUUCAGGUCACCUCUGCCGCUUCAAGGUAUCUCCCAUGACAUGUAAUGAAAAUGGAGAUGGGUCUUGGACCUGAUGGGGAAGGGAUGCCUUUCACAGGGUGGGGAUCAUCAGUGGGGUCUCUGAUCAGCUUUCCACAGGGUGCCGAUCAUCAGAAGCGGGGUCUCUGAUCAGCCUUUCACAGGAUGGGGAUCAUUAGCAGGGGCUCUGAUCAGCCUUCCACAGGGUGCCGAUCAUCAGAAGCGGGGUCUCUGAUCAACCUUCCACAGGAUGCCGAUCAUCAACGGGUCUCUGAUCAGCAUUCCACAGGAUGCCGAUCAUCAGCGGGGUCUCUGAUCAGUCUUCCACAGGAUGCCGAUCAUCAACGGGGUCUCUGAUCAGUCUUCCACAGGAUGCCGAUCAUCAGCGGGGUCGCUGAUAAGCCUUCAGCAGGAUGCGGAUCAUCAGCGGGGCCUCUGAUUAGCCUCCUACAUGUCUGCUGGACUUGGCCUGGCGUUGCAGCCUGUAUCAGAUACGUUUGCAUUGCUGUACUAGUCCCUGUUGUGAUUUAGAUAGGGAGCAUUCCCCACAGGCUCAUGGACACUCAUUCUCCAUCUAGUGGGGCUGUUUAGGAAGGUUUUAUAAUGCAGGAGGUAGUGCUUCACUGCCGGAAGUGGAUCACCGUUGACUCUUGAGUUUUUUAUAGUCCACUUCCUGUCUUCUCUCUGCUUCCUGACUAUAGGUGGCAGCUGACUAUAGGGUUAGGGUAUACCUAACCCUCCUGUAGCCAUCCCUUCCCCGUGGUGGACUGCAUCCCUUCCAAACCAUAAGACAAAUCCAGGUCUGCAAGAUGGUUCAGUGAGUAAUGGCCCCUGCUGCCAAGCUCCCAAACCAGAGUUUGCCUCUCAGAACCCACGUGGUAGGAGAGAACUGACUCCAUCAAGUUGUCCUCUGGCU